UGUAAAUCUUAUAUUAUAGUAAAAUAUUUUUUUGUUAUUCUACUUUGCUUUGUACAGUUUAUUUUACUGUGUUUACUUCAAUUUCCCAAUGUGACAACCAUAUUUAAAAAUUAAAACUAGUGAAAUAUUCUGUUUUGGUCUUCACCAUCUGACAAAUUGAAUGGUAAGAAGUGGAUUAUGCCAGUUUCUUUUCAUUGAUGCAAAUUUGUGUUAUGAUGUCACUGAAUGGAGUAUUUUUAAGUUGGCCCUGAGCAUGCAUAAAACAUCCAUAUCUUAACCUUUUUUACCCCCUUGAAAUUUGAAAUAAAUGCAUUUGUGUUGUCUAAUUAGCUAAAUAAGCAUUGGUGUCUUGCCACAAUGUUUGAAAAUUACUGUACAUGAGAGUCCCAGCAAAGCAGAUGUGUCACUGACUUUGG